UGGCUCAGGACGAACGCUGGCGGCGUGCCUAAUACAUGCAAGUCGAACGGUCGUUUCUAUGGAAGCUUGCUUCCACUGAGAAGAUAGUGGCGAACGGGUGAGUAACACGUGGGUAACCUGCCCAUAAGAGGGGGAUAACAUCCGGAAACGGGUGCUAAUACCGCAUAGUUUUCCUGAUCGCAUGAUCGGAAAGGAAAGACGGCCUUUGUGCUGUCGCUUAUGGAUGGACCCGCGGCGUAUUAGUUAGUUGGUGAGGUAACGGCUCACCAAGACGAUGAUACGUAGCCGACCUGAGAGGGUGAUCGGCCACAUUGGGACUGAGACACGGCCCAAACUCCUACGGGAGGCAGCAGUAGGGAAUCUUCCGCAAUGGACGAAAGUCUGACGGAGCAACGCCGCGUGAGUGAAGAAAAGGUUUUUCGGAUCGUAAAACUCUGUUGUCAGAGAAGAACAAGUUGGAGAGUAACUGCUCCAGCCUUGACGGUAUCUGACCAGAAAGCCACGGCUAACUACGUGCCAGCAGCCGC
rnacentral:rRNA from 1 species